GCACGCAUAGCUCAGCAGGUCAGAGCGUCGUCCUGAUAAGACGGAGGCCCCUGGUUCAAGUCCAGGUGCGUGCA
rnacentral:tRNA from 1 species